rnacentral:rRNA from 1 species
CAGCCGCCGCGGUAAUACCGGCGGCCCGAGUGGCGGUCACUAUUAUUGGGCUUAAAGCGUCCGUAGCCGGGUUGGGAAGUCCUCCGGGAAAUCUGGCCGCUUAACGGUCAGAAUGCCGGAGGAUACUCCCAGCCUAGGGAGCGGGGGAGGGCGAGGGUAUUCCCGGAGGAGGGGGGAAAUCCUAUAAUCCCGGGAGGACCACCUGUGGCGAAGGCGCUCGGCUGGAACGCGUCCGACGGUGAGGGACGAAGGCCAGGGGAGCAAACCGGAUUAGAUACCCGGGUAGUCCUGGCUGUAAACGAUGCGGACUUUGUGUCGGACAAGCUAUGAGCUUGUCCGGUGCCGGAGGGAAACCGUUAAGUCCGCCGCCUGGGGAGUACGGCCGCAAGGCUGAAACUUAAAGGAAUUGGCGGG